GCCUUUGUGGUGUAGUGGUUAACACGUUCGGCGCGUAUUCACGAAAUCCGUGGUUCACGUCCCGGCGACGGCA
rnacentral:tRNA from 1 species